rnacentral:lncRNA from 1 species
GUGUGGGAGCAAGACCUAGAGGUUUCUCUUCUUUUCUUUUUUGGUUGUGCCUGCAGCAUGUAAAAGUUCCAAGGCCAGGGAUGGUACCCAUGCCACAAGCAGUGACCUAAGCCACUGCAGUGACAAAGCCAGAUCCUUAACCCGCUGUGUCACAAGAGAACUAGAAGUUUCUGAUGUACCAUUUCAAUCGAUCAUAGGAACACCAUGCUCCCACCCUGGGUGAUUCCUCCUGGACUUGUGCCUCCCACCCCUUCGGGGACCCCAUCUUGGCCUCUUGUCUUGGCCUCACAGCACUCAAGACUCGGUUGGACUAGUAAUUCUGGUCUUCUUGGUGUCCCCCUCAGACCCAUUGUCCCACCUAAUCUCUGACCAAGGUUCCACUCUGUAUUUGUGAAUGAACUUCUUGUGAAUAGAAAUACUUUCUAAUCACAGAUGGCCUGAUCGAAAAAACCAAAAGGCUGGGAGUUCCCACUGUGGCUCAGUGGGUUAAGGGCCCAACGUUGUCUCUAUGAAGAUGCCCUGGCCUUGCUCAGUGGGUUAAGGAUCUGGCAUUGCUGCAAGCUGUGGCAUAGGCUGUAGAUACAGCUUGGAUCCUAUGUUGCUGUGGCUGUGGUGUAGGCCUGCAGCUGCAGCUCCGAUUAGAUGUCCAGCAUAGGAACUGCCUUCUGUAUGCCACAAGUGUGGCCAUAGAAAGAAAAAAAAAGGGGGAAAAAAAUCUGAAGGCCGAAUUGCUCUACAACAUGGACCCAGUAACUAAAGAGGAAGACAAUCUGAGAAGAGCCCAAUGGCUCCUGGGUGGAGGUGACUCCUGUGGUUCAGAGAGUGGGCUCAGGAGCCCAGCGGUACUUUAAAGUGAAGGAUAACUUGAUCCCCAUGCUGUACAGCGGGAAAAAAAAUAAAAUAAAAUAAAAUGAGGGUUAGUAGGGAGUUCCCUGGUGGCAUAGUGGGCUAAGGAUCCAGCAGUUGUUACUCUGGCCCAUGUUGAUGAUGUGGUGUGGGUUUGAUACCUGGCCUUGGAACUUCCAUGUGCUAUGGGCAUGGACAAAAAGAAGAAAAAUGUGGAUAAACAUAGAUAACCAACCUUAUGGGGUUGUCUUGACAAUUAAAUGAGAUUAUCCACAUAAGAUGCUUAGUGUACGUUGUCUAGAGUGUGCACUCAAAUAUAUACUUUUGGUAUUAGUAUCAUCAAAUUAAUAUUAUUAUUAUGCAUUGCUUUUAAUUAAUCUCUCUGAUAGCAGAUCUUAAUUAGGCACUUGUCUUCUGUCUGAGUUCAUUUCUUCAUCCACUUAUUCAUCAAAGGUCUCUUGAACAUCUACUAUGUGUCAGACACUCUUCAAGGUGCUAGAUCGACCUUCAUAAACAAAACAGAGAGCCCUGAUUUUUGUUUGUUUAAAGAAGAUUUAUUGUAUAAAGUCAAAGUGCAUUCUUAGAUGAAAAAAUUGUGCUUUGAAGAUCAAACAAUUAAAUCAGAAAGCUUAUUUUCUUAUUUAAUAUGUGUAUAAGACAAAUUUAUUUUAUACAAAAAGAAAAUGGGCCAUCCCAAAUAUAACUUUACCAUUCCUGGCAUGGAAUUUUUAUUUGGGUUUGGGGAGACAAACAAUACUCUAUAAACCAAGUAAAUAAAUUACAUAAUAUAGAUGCUAUGGGGAAAAGAGAAUUUGAGCAGAGAAAGGGGGGGGUGCGAGUCCUCGGGGAUAGGUGCAAGCAGCACAGGGCCCCAUGAGAAGGUGACAUUUAAGCAAAGACUUGAGGGGAGAAGGAGUUAAAUGUGAGGCUCUCUGAAGGCAGAGCAGCCAGACGGGGGCGGGGGGGGGGCGCGGGGGGCAGGGAAUGGCCAGGGCAGAGGCUUGAGAUGUGAGUGAGCCCAGCAUGUGCAAAGCCAGCAAGGAAUAGAGAGAGAGGGGAAUUAAGGUUUUCAAUAUUUGUGUCAAGGGGAGCCUUAUAGGGUUUUGAGCAAAGAAGGGACUAAGUUCUCAUCCACAGAUGGGGCAGAGGUGGGUAGCCCAGCUCCUCAUGUCCAGCCAAUGUAACUUUUCCCACCAAGCUUCAUCCUUUCGAAAAGGCAUCAGCGUCUUUACCAAGGUUUUGCCUUAAUCCAGACUCAUGUGGGCCAAACGUCCCCACUGUACCUUCAUGUGAUUAUAUUUCUGAUUAAGACAAGCCCUAAAUGAGAUAAUUAGCCGUGAGAUAAAUAAACAAGUCACAAUUUAUGAUUUUUCCAAAUGCUGUUGCUGCUUAUGGAUGUCAGCUGUAGUUUCUAGGCAAUACUAAAUCCAUCAUUGUAGAGAGAUUAUGUGCAUAAUUAUGGAGACAUAGUUAUCCACACUAUUUUUCUGGGUUAAUAAAUUCAGGAUUCUGUUGAUAUCUUUUCCCCCUCUGUGUUCUACAUGUUUCUUGAAAAUGCUUAGUUUCUGAUCCUUUGCUAAUUUGGUUAUAGGUAAGGUCACGACUCAACAGUAUGAUACAAUUUCCUCUGGAGCAGCUAUUCAACUUAAUCCGGAAGGCAGUAAGUAAUACACUUAUAAGCUCAAUCAAAUCUAAUUAAAUUGAAUUGGAUUUCCUCAUUUAGGUUUUAAUUUAUUACGUACUGGGAACUUAGGGGUUUUUUUGACUUCAUUUAAACUCAGAUGGGAGUUCCCGUCGUGGCUCAGUGGUUAAUGAAUCCCAGAGGAACCAUGAGGUUGCAGGUUUGAUCCCUGGUCUUGCUCAGUGGGUUAAGAAUCGGGCAUUGCUGUGAGCUGUGGGCAUUGCAGACACAGCUUGGAUCCCACGUUGCUGUGGCUGUGGUGUAGGCAGGUGACUACAGCUCCAAUUGGACCCCUAGCCUGGGAACCUCCAUAUGCCUCGGGUGUGGUCCUAGAAAAGGCAAAAAAAUAAAUAAAAUAAAUAAAUAAACUCAGAUGAAUGCUGCAUUAAAACAAGGAGGAGGUUCUCUUAAAAUAGCAUGUUCUGUUAAAAAUCUACUUCACAAUGAUGUAGAAGGAAACCCAGAUAAAGUAUGUAAUUGUUAUGAAUGAUAACAUGGUUGCUUCCCAAUGACAGUUCUUUAGCAUCUUGGUCAAUGUAGCAAUGAAAUCUGUUUGGAAGCAGAGUUGAAACUUAAACAUUUAGGAUAUUGAAAGAUUGAAUAGAUUUAAUGAUCAGCUCAGCUUCCAUGGGAAGUAAGCUUCUAAUGGGAGUAUCAAUUUUUGCUAUUGUUGGGUAGAAGGACUGAAGGCAUCUGGUUUGAAUUUAUUUGUCUUCUAAGACAGUUUUCCAUUUAUUAUCCCUAAUAUAAUGUAGGUUACGAGAGAGAGUAUAAUAGUACAGCAGAUAUUCCAUGUGUAUGUGGAUAAUUUUGAAAAUUAAAAGAGUGGUUUCCUCAGUGGCCUCUCUAGACAUGGCAGAGCAGUGGCUGGGACCCGAAGUGCCUUCAGAAGAGUUGCGAGAAAUGUAUGAUGAAGCAUCCCAGCUAAGAGGACAAGGGUAGCUGACAACCAGCUAUAUCUGGGCGGCAGCAGGGAGUGGUGAGGACUGUGGUAAACUGGAGAGACAACCCAUCUAAAUGGGUCAGCCCCUUCUCAGCCAAUUCCUGCCAUAUGAAAACAAAAGCCUAGUGUUUCCAGAUCUUCUGAUUUUUUCAAAAACACAAAUUCUGAUUUUUAUGUGUCGAUUUUUUUGUGUGUGUCUCUUAUUAGGGCUGCACCUGUGGCACAUGGAAGUUCCCAGGCUAGGGGUCAAAUUGGCGCUGUAGCCACUGGCCUAUACCACAGCCACAGCAAUGCCAGAUCCAAGCCAUGUCUGUGACUUACACCACAGCUCAUGGGAACGCUAGAUCCUCCACUCACUGAGUGAAGCCAUGGAUCAAACCUGCAUCCUCAUGGAUACUAGUGAGAUCUGUUUCUGCUGAGCCAUGAAAGGAACUCCAUAUGUGUCAAAUUUUCCGAUUUUUUAAAUGUUCCAGCUAGUUAAAAACCAACAAUAGGAGUUCCCUGGUGACCUAGUGGAUAAGGGUCUGGUAUUGUCACUGCUGUGGCUCAGGUCCAAUCCUUGACCCUGAAACUUCUGCAUAUCUUAGGUGGAAACAACAACAGUCUAUGUAGGUCCAGCAAAACAAGCCUGCAGGACAAGUUCAGUCCAUAGCCUGCCUCUUUGUCACGUCUUGGUGUACAUUUCAGCCAUUGGAACUGAGACACCAAGGGAGAUUUUAUAUUUGUAAUUGGGUUCCAGAAGUCUCAUUUCUUACUGCCCUGUGUCAAGAAAUUGCCCCAUCACAAAUAGCUAUUGUUGUUAUUAGGAACAGGGGCUAUUACUGGAGUCAUUUACAAUUAUUACAUAGUGACUGUAAAUGUACUAACAAUAAGUACACAGAAUUUAACAUAUUUCUGAUUUUCCAAAUAUGUUAAUAUUUUAAUCUUAUAUUAGUGUGCAAAAAUAACUAAGUCACAUUAGAACAAAUUUGUAAGCCCAGUUGCACUACAAAAAUCUGAGGCACGGGAAUUCCCAUCAUGGCUCAGUGGGUUAAGAACCUGACUAGUAUCCAUGAGGAUGCAGGUUCAAUCCCUGGCCUAGCUCAGUGGGUUAAGGAUCCAGCAUUGCUGUGAGCUGAGGCAUAGGAUGCAAAUGUGGCUCAGAUCUGGCAGGGCUGGGGCUGUGGCCUUGGCUGCAGCUCUGAUUCAAUCCCUAGUCUGGAACUUCCAUAUGCCAAAGGUGUGGCCAUAAAAAAAGUAAAAAAUAAAAAAACAAACAAAAAUCUGAGGCACAGAACAAUUAAUUAUAUUACCCAACUUCACACAAAUAAGGUAAUGGUAAACCUGAGAUUAAACUUCAGGUUUAUUUACUCGGAUUGAUGAGCUUUUUCUACAAUCUAGACUUGUUACCUUUAUAUGUCAAGUUAUUACCAAACAAUACUGAAUACCAUUUUAAGAAAAAAGAAGUAUAACAUUAGUGUGUUGGGAAGAUACGCAAUAUGCAUGACACACUCCUGAGAAAAUCUGUAAUAAAAUAAAGGAACUUUCUUUCCCCCUCUUUGGGCCAUGCCCAUGGCAUGUGGAAGUUCUGGGGCCAGGAAUCCAACCCACGCCACAGCUAAAACCAGAGCCACAGCAGUGACAAUGCUGGAUCCUUAACUCACUGAGCCACCAGGGCAUUCCUGGGAACUUCUGCUAAAAUACAAAUAUGUGCAUAAAAUUUUUUGAAUUAAUUUUUUGUGGAAUUAACCUUUCAGUUAUCUGUUCCAGGAUCAUUGCAAGAUGAAAGAAUGCAUUUGUUCUGAAAAAGAAUGGAUGUGUGUAUACGUAUAACUGAAUCACUCUGUUGUACAGCACAAAUUAUCACAGCAUUGUAAAUAAACUAUACUUAAUAGAACUUUAAAAAAUGAAAAAAUAGGAGUUCCCGUGGUGGUGCAGUGGAAACGAAUCCGACUAGGAACCAUGAGGUUGCGGGUUUGAUCCCUGGACUUGCUCAGUGGGUUAAGGAUCUGCCGUUGCCAUGAGCUGUGUGUAGGUCACAGACCCCUAGCCUGGGAACCUCCAUAUACUUUGGGUGAGGCCCUAAAAAGCAAAAAAAAAAAAAAAAAGAAAAAAUAUAUUUGUUAAAGAAAUAGAUCAAACACAUAAAAGAGACAGAAUAGAUGUUAUGUGUCUUUUAUUGGUGAUAUUUGAAUUCCCAAGUUCACAUAGAAAUGAUUUCAUAAAUAUCCUUUAGUUUUUAUCUUGCAUUUUAAGUGUUUUUAAUUGUUAGUCUAUUCUUAUAAUCAAACCCUUAAUUUAAUCACAAAUGGAACUAAAAUAUGCUGUCUUUUUUUCCGAUUCAAUUAGAAAAGAUAUUGAGAAACUUUGAAAUUAGAACCCUAAAAGCUAGUAAAAGAGCCUUAAUUGUCAGAUUAGAAAUGGACACUUCCCUCCAAAAGUUACAAAAGUUCUUAUAUAUUCAUUGAAAAAUGCUUACCCAGAAUUAAUAACUGCCCAGAAGGAAAGAGUCUGUUAUAAAAUUGUUUUGUUGAUAUAUUUUUUAAAGCAGGAAAAAAAAAUUCUUUCUAAAAUGCUUUGUUUGGCUAAUUCUAGGACAGCAUCCCUUGUCUCAUCAAGGACUAAAAUGAUCCA